rnacentral:lncRNA from 1 species
AACCGCAAGAACCUUGCAUCACUAAAGGAGGAGAUUCCUAUGGCGUUCAGGGCUGCAGCAAACCCAGCCAGCUUAGUGUUGGACUCUUUGGAAGGGUUUUACCCUAUGGAGGCACCAACCGCUGAUGGAAAGAAAGACGCUAACCUCUUAGGCAUGCGCAGAACCUGUAUCAUGUUGAUGGAGUGCCUUAGCAUACUGUUAUCUGGUCUGGACCCCAACUCCCUUGCUGCUGUUCUCUCACAGAAUGUUAAGCGUAGAGCCAAAAGUAUUGCAGAAGGAUGGAAUCCACUGCUGCAGUCUCUUGACAUGGAUGCUUGCAAUGGUAAUUCUUUGGAGGCUCAUGCAUUCCUGCAACUGCUGGCCAGUUUUGCUAUUGUUGGUGACUUUAAAGAGGAUGAACUCUUAAAGCUGAUCCCCAUGGUUUCACGUCGCCGUCAGGCAGCUGAGCUCUGCCGUUCACUUGGAUUAGCUGAAAAAAUGCCUGGUUUGUUCUCUAAUUUUCAGGAUAUGGCUGAUUAUCUUUACAUGCUAUGACAUUUUGAUGAGACGCUUGAUAUUUGGUAUUUAGUGAAUAGCUGGAAAGGGUCUCUGGUCAAGGACAUAAACAUGACAUGGCUUUAUACGUUUUUACAUUUUAAAUUCUCCACCUUCACCAUUGAUCUUAAUCUUUGAUUUCACUGCUCCUAUUAUCCCAGGUGUGAUUGAAGUUCUCGUGAACAGUGGAAAACAGAUUGAUGCGGUUAAUUUGGCAUUUGCGUUUGAACUCACAGAACAGUUCUCACCUGUCUCAUUACUGAAAUCUUACUUGACUGAGGCAAGGAGAUCUUCCACCCAAGGCAGACCUGGCAAUGCAUCUCCUGCUGUUCAGGCAAGUGUUCCCUGACUUGAUAACUUGCAUUAUUCAUUACUUGUAAGAGAAAAUGAAGGGCUAUGCUAAUGCACGUUACCUAUAGUUUGAUCUUUUCAUGAACUAUUGUUACCUUUUCUCGAGCAUCUGGCUCUUUGGCGGCAAGUAAAUCACCUCACUUGAACAUCUCCAAGCUGUGUUCAGUUGCUAUAUUGUUUACUCAAGACUUUCUUAAAGCCUUUGAAACUUAAAACCAAUGCAUUCAUUAUCAAUUACUUUAGGCGUAUUACGUAUAUAGUACUUGAUGAAUGCAAGAUUUAGGCGCAUAUUAUCAUAAUAAUUAUAUGUGUACCAAUGCAGGAUGAGUUCAAUGAGCGAGAGCUUACAGGGCUCAAAACCGUGAUAAAGUGUAUCGAAGAGCAUAACCUGGAAGAGCAGUACCCAGCUGAGCCACUUCACAAGCGGAUUCUCCAGCUCGAGAAAGCCAAAGCAGACAAAAAGAGAGCAACAGAACCCACAAAGCCUCAACCAAAACGACCACGUGGUGCUCAACCCCGAGUCCCCGACAACAACAACAACAACA